UACGGAGGGUGCAAGCGUUAAUCGGAACUACUGGGCGUAAAGCGCGCGCAGGCGGUCUGUCAAGUCGGAUGUGAAAUCCCCGGGCUCAACCUGGGAACUGCAUUCGAAACUGGCAGGCUUGAGUCUCGUAGUGGGGGGUAGAAUUCCAGGUGUAGCGGUGAAAUGCGUAGAGAUCUGGAGGGAUACCGGUGGCGAAGGCGGCCCCCUGGACGAAGACUGACGCCCAGGUGCGAAAGCGUGGGGAGCAAACAGG
rnacentral:rRNA from 1 species